CCAAAGGCUCUUUUAAGAGCCACCCACUUACUCCGUGAAAAGAGCU
rfam:Leptosomus discolor contig93450, whole genome shotgun sequence.